rnacentral:misc_RNA from 1 species
AUUCAUUAGUAGGUCUUGCAAGGCAGAGAAUACAAAUUUUAAAAAAAGGUUCCAUGGCUUAACUAUAACUACCAAAAACUCAUCAUGGGCCCAAACAUUAUAAUAAAUCCAUAAGAUCUCCCAGCUCCACCAAAAAAAACCCUAGGCAGCCAAAAUGGGUUGAUGACCUAUAACAAUAACAAAUCCGCCUACAAACAACUUGCAUCAUGCCUUCAGGAAACCAUGGGUUUAUAAAACCACUUGAACUCAGACUGGCAAACCGCACAACGGAGGAAGCAAGGUCGGGUAGAGUCUCGCUGGCAUCUCAAUCUUAUUUAGCCAGGGCGACAACACCAUGUUCGGUUGACUCUUCAAAUCCUAGGAAUAUUUCCUCCUUCGACACCCAACAACAAGAACUCUCUCGUGCCUAGUCCAUGGCAAUGCUCGAGCAACCUUAUAACCACACAAAUGGAGCAGAUUUGCAAAAAGUCUGUCUCUUUUGUGCCAUAAGAUCUGCAACAAUACCACCGAAAAAACCAAAAGACAAAGCAAGAUAAGAGAACGAAAAACAGGACCACGUCACAAGGGCAGCCUAAAGGAUCACUCACCAUUCACCGUUUGCUACUCCACCAUCAAAAUCUAUGGAGGAGAAACCGACUAACCAGUAAGGAGAUGACCUCCCUCUCUACA